rnacentral:rRNA from 1 species
GAUGAACGCUGGCGGCGUGCUUAACACAUGCAAGUCGAACGGGAAACCUUUUAAUGAAGCUUCGGCAGAUUUCGCUGGUUUCUAGUGGCGGCCGGGUGAGUAACGCGUGGGUAACCUGCCUUAUACAGGGGGAUAACAGUCAGAAAUGACUGCUAAUACCGCAUAAGCGCACAGGACCGCAUGGUCCGGUGUGAAAAACUCCGGUGGUAUAAGAUGGACCCGCGUUGGAUUAGCUUGUUGGUGGGGUAACGGCUCACCAAGGCGACGAUCCAUAGCCGGCCGGAGAGGGUGAACGGCCACAUUGGGACUGAGACACGGCCCAGACUCCUACGGGAGGCAGCAGUGGGGAAUAUUGCACAAUGGGGGAAAACCUGAUGCAGCGACGCCGCGUGAAGGAAGAAGUAUCUCGGUAUGUAAACUUCUAUCAGCAGGGAAGAUAGUGACGGUACCUGACUAAGAAGCCCCGGCUAACUACGUG